rnacentral:lncRNA from 1 species
CUUUGACCAGGUACCUUUUGUACACCCAUUUGUUUCAUUAGGUUCCUUAGUGUAGCAACAUCUUCCCAAUUACCAGCAGAAGCAUGUAUGUUAGAAAGCAUCACCAUUGCCGCAGAGUUGGAAGGAUCGAGUUUUAGUAUAUUUUCUGCAGCUCUCUCUGCAAUGUCAACUUUAUUAUUAUGAGUUUUACAAGCAGCAAGUAGAGUUUUCCAAGUAGUAAUGUCAGGGUCAAAUUCUGAUUUCUGAAUAAAAGUCUCUGCUUCAUGGAAGCAUCCGGCACGAGCAAGCAAAUCAACCAUGCAAGAGAAGUGUUCUCUUGUCGGUGGAAUUCUGUAUUCUGUUUCCAUGGAUUUAUAUAAACGCCAGCCUUCCUCCACUAAUCCAAUGUGACUGCACGCGCUGAGAGCCCCGAGAUAUGUGACCUCGUUAGGCCGAACGCCAAGAUUUGUCAUAACUUUAAAGAGAUUAAGAGCUUCAUGUCCAAGUCCAAACUGAGCAUAACCAACAAUUAAACUACUCCAUGAGACAAUAUUUGGGCUCUGCGUUGAAUCAAAAACGUCGCGAGCAUGUUUAAGUGAUCCACAUUUUGCAUACAUGUCAAUCAAUCCAUUGCACACAGAAACAUCAAGCACUAGCCCACUUUUAAUACUAUAGCAAUGCACUUGAUUUCCGACACCUAAAGAUGUCAGCUCAGCACAGGUUCCUAAUAGAGUAGUUAUGGUGAUACUGUCAGGCUUAUUUUCAGAAUAAAGCAUUUGUUUAAAUAAUCUGAAAGUCUCUCCUUCUUGCUUGUGCUGCAAGCAUGCUGAAAGAAUUGCAUUCCAAGAAACUAAGUUGGCAUUUCCGCUUACAUCUCUGAAAACAUUUAAUGCAUCAUAUAGAUUUGAGCACUUUGUGUACAUGGUUAACAAGGAGUUGCAUACCGAUACUUCCUUAUCGAGACCGAUUUUGACAAUGUAAGAAUGAAUGUGCAUACCCUGGUUAGAUGCUGUGGGGCUCCCACAAGCGCAAAGUAAGGAAAUAAAAGUAACGUUAUCUGGGAUCAGUCCUGUUUGCAUCAUCCGAUGGAAAAAAUCUAUGGCUUCAUUAGCAUCACCAUUGUCAGCAAAUGCUGCAAUAAUUGCAUUCCAUGACACUAUAUCAGGGCUUUUAAUCUGAUAGAAUGCCGUCUUUGCCGAAGGUAAAAAUCCGAAUUUUGCAUACAUGUCACAAAGGGAGCAUCCAGCGAAAACGUUCCUCCCUAAACCGAAUUUAGCGCACAUUCCAUGUACUUGCUUUCCAUACUCUAGUUCAAGAAGGUUGCUGCAAGCACUGAAAACACUGCCAAAUAUGAACUCAUUUGGCUGAUAAACUCCCUGCCUGAGCAUAUCUCGGAAAAUAUAUAAAGCUUCUAUCCUAUAACCUUGUUGAGUAUAUCCCGUAAUCAUGGAACCCCAAGAAAUUAAAUCCUUUGUAGAAAUCGUUGUAAAUACAUUUGACGCAUGUGUGAUUUGUCCGAAAUUUGUGUACAUUGAAAUAAGAGCAUUUAGGGAGAUCAAGUGAUGACCAAACCAUGAUUUAAUGACAUGAGCAUGCAGUUGCCUACCUAAACCUAUAUCCCCGGCAAUGUAGCAAGCCUUAAUUAUGCUUCCAAAGGUUAACUGGUCCGGAAAUUGACCCGAUUGCAUCAUUUGAAUAUACAUGAUGAUGGCAUCGUUCUCUUGACUGUUCUGUGAGUAUCCGGAGAUCAGUGAAGUCCAAGAGACCACAUUUCGUAGCUGCAUUGUGUCAAAAACUUUUCUAGCAUCAUUCAUAGAACCACAUUUUCCAUACAUGUUAAUAAUAUGAUUUUGGAGAAUCAUGCUUGGUUGGCAGCUGGAUUUUGAAAUGUGAUCAUGGAUUUUCUUUGCAUAUUCAAGUGAUCUAGAGUUGGCGCAAGCCAAAACUAAACUCGUAUACGUGCUUGGUUCAAAAUGGAUAUUCGGAUUCUUUAGAUGAAAAUCAAACACUUCCAGCGCUUCUUUGUAAUGCUGUUGCUUACACAACAAUAUUAUGUAACUAUUAGUCGGUAGCUCUGUACUUAGAUUAGAGACAGUUGCUGGUUGCAGAACAGGUCUUACAUGAUUAUGCAUACAUCGAAUGAAGCUUCGAAUUGUCAUAGACAUGGAUGGGGUUUUUGAAAACUAGAAAAAGUAAAACUACUGUUAUUUGACGACAACGGAAGAAACCUUAAAGGGCAAGAUGGUUUCAGGACAGUGAAGUGGUUACAAAUGAGGGUUUCUGAUUCUGACUAAGGAUAUAACAAAAAACAGUAGUAGGAUGAUCAGAAAGUGAGUGUUUCCAAUGUAAAUAUAUGAAAUAUUAACAUGAACCAUGUAACUAAAUAUGCUAUAUUAUGCUAAAGCCACUUCCUAUAUGUUACUAUCUCGCUGUGGCAAUUUGUCAAACAGCUACUAUGCAACAAAAUUGCAUUCUAAAAUGUGUACAACAAUGAGUUAGAAAAACUGUAUAAGUGCAUAAUGAUCAUCUUUAAAAUAGUUUAACAACUCAAAAUUGGAGGAAAUUUAUGGAUUCCAAAACCACAAAAAAGUUAUGAUAACUGAAAAUAACGCACCUGAAGUCUCUGGUUAGUGCUCAACCAGAGAGAAUACUAAUGUCACGUGCUUAUUGUUAUUGUUAUUACAAAACUACCCACUAUAUUUUCUUUAUUUAUAAAAUUUAUGUUUUUAAGAUAAAAAACAUAAAAUUUUAAAUAAUUCAUUUUUUCAAAUAAAUAUCCAAAAUAACUCAUUUUUUCAUCUAUUUUUCAAAAUAACCAACUUUUAAACAAAAAAAAAUUUCAAAACAAAGGAGGCGUCAAUCCAAUUGACGUCUGUGUACAUCACAUAAGAGGAGAAGACAAUCCAAUUGACGACAUUGUACAAACACGUAGGAGGGAGAAUAUACUUUCUCUCCUAUACGUUUGUACAUUAUCGCCAAUUGGAUUGACCUCUCCUCGACCUCUCCUCCUCUUCUGUGUUGUACACGGACGCCAAUUAUAUUGACGUCUCAUUUAUUUUGAGAUUUUUUUUUAUUUGAAUGUGGAUUACUUUAAAAAAUAAUUAAAAAAGUGAAUUAUUUAAUAUUUAUUUGAAAAAAAUUAAUUAUUAAAAAAGAAGACAUCCCUUGUCAUUUAGUCAUUGAGUUAAGUGAAUAAUAUAAAAAAGAAAUUUUAACUUUAAUUAUUUGUUAAAAUAAAUUAUUUUUAAUUAAUAUUUUAUUUUCUCUCUAUGACAACCACACAUUUAAAAAAUAUGAAGCAGGUGUAAAAUUGGUGGGACAAUACUUCAAAUCAAAUUAAUAUGCAACGACUUUGUUCAAGCCCACAUUAUUAUCUUACUUCUAUUUGCAAUAAUUCUAUACUCCAAAUAUUCAUUAUGCUCAUAAUUAUCCUGCCAAAAAAAUUCCACAGUCAAACUUUAAUUAAAUUUUUUUAUGCACAUUCCUCUAAAUUGAUCCAAAAAAGUACCAAUUCAGCCUAAAUUAUAAACUAAACAAAUCCUAAUCACUAAUCAGCAAUAAUCACUAAUAAUAGUUAAAGAGACAGCUGCUACAAAAAAAAAAAAUAGAUUGGUACCAUCUCAACAGCUAUUUGGUAUAAGAUAGCAACUCAUCCUCUCACUCUCACAUAAAAAAUUAUUUUUCAUAUUCUUUAUAUAUAUUACUUUUGCUUCAAGUCACAACCAAGUGAAGCAAUUCCAAACAAAAACUAGUAAUUUAGUUUGAAAGUAUCAAUCAUAACCUCAUAAAAUUUCAAACGUUUUCUUUAACACCAAUACUUUAUACUUUAUGUUCCAUUUUAAAUAACCUUCUCUUCACUUCAUUCUCUUCCAACCUGAAAAUUUUCUGGUCAAUUUUUUCAUAACAUGGGUUCACUAGAAAGGUCAAAGAAAAAAACCCAUUUAUGGAAAAAAGCCAUGCUUCAUUUUUCUCUAUGUUUUGUUAUGGGUUUUUUCACCGGUUUAGCUCCAUCAGGUAAAUCUCUAAUAUUUUCUAGCAAAAUUGAAGUUGCAUUUGCAGUUUCAAACGUAACAGAGUUUGUAACAGCAGCACCUCAACCUUCUCAAACUUCAACGAAAAAUAGUAACAAAAGUUGGAUAGCUUCAGCACCGAAAAUCCAUAGCCAAAAAACAAAGUUGCAUGCAAAACCACUACCUCAGUUAAAGCCGAAAAGACUUGUUAUCAUAGUAACUCCAACUAGCACAAAACUACCUUAUCAAAAUGUUUUUCUGAGAAGGUUAGCGAAUACUAUAAAGCUGGUUGAUCAACCGGUGCUUUGGAUUGUCGUCGAGGCGAAAACCGAUUCGCCGGAGUUGUCGGAGAUUUUAAGGAAAACUGGUAUCAUGUACAGACAUGUUGUUUUCAGUGAAGAGUUUGAGGAUUUAGAAGGUGAAUUGAAUCAUCAGAGAAAUUUAGCACUUAGUCACAUUGAACAUCAUAGAUUGAGUGGGAUUGUUCAUUUUGCUGGACUUUCAAAUGUUUAUGAUCUUCAAUUCUUUCAACAGCUUAGAGAUAUUGAGUAUGUUUUCUAACCCUUCUAUUUGCUUAACUAAUUAUUAAUUAUAUUAUUAUUAUUUUGUUGUCUUAUAGUGAUUUGUUCUAAUUUAAAUGUAGCUAGUGGGGGGAAGUUUUAAAAAUAAGCAAAUUUUUUUCAAUUAGAUGGAGAAAAGUUAGUGAGAAAAUCUUUAGGUAUACCAAAAGAUGAUGAUGAUAACUUUAGUGAAUCUUCAACUUAGAUAAAAAAUCAUAUACAAAGAAGACUAUUUAAUUAAAUAUGUAUAAAAUUAUUUUUUAAAAUUAAUAUUAAUAGUAUUUUUUGUAUUAGUAUUAAUAUUAUUACAUAAGAUUUUGUUAUUAGAAUUUAUUUAUAAAUUUGUUGAUAUUUUCAGUAACUUAUGUUUAUUAAUUAACAUUAAUAUAACAUUUUAAAACUUCAUAUUAAAUAUUAAAAUAUAAUUUAAUAUCACUUACUUAUGAGUUUGUUAAUAAAUUUUAAAUAUGACUUUAGAAAAUAUAAAAUUUAUUGAACUUUAAAUUAAAUUAUAAUAAAUUACUUGUCAAAUUUUAAAAGCUUUUAUCUGAUAAGACUUAAUUCAGUAAAAAUUUACAUGUUAAUAAAAUCAAAACUAUCAUUGAAGUAAAUUUUUUUAAUGAUCUACAAAUUAUGAUAUUUUACAAUUACUAGUUGAUUUUUAAAUUUUUUAAAAAACUUAUAUGCUUAAUUUUCUUUAAUAUUUUUACAAAAUAAUGUGUUUCAAUAUUUUAAUUGUGAUUAAUGUGACAAUUGAGCAGGGUCUUUGGGACAUGGCCAACAGCAUUAUUACUUGCAAAUAGAAAAAGAGUCAUACUUGAAGGACCUGUAUGUGACUCAUCUCAAGUUAUUGGAUGGCAUUUAAGAAAUAUGAACAAUGAAACAAUAACUCCUCCCAUUCAUAUUUCAAGUUUUGCAUUCAAUAGCUCCAUUCUUUGGGACCCUGAAAGAUGGGGUAGAACUUCAUCUGUUAAACACACUUCUCAGGUAAUUAAUCACUUCAUAAUCAUGUUUAAUCUCAUUCUAAAAUAGGUAAUUAAUUAAGUUAGUUUAUAUCACUCCUUCACUUUUUACAAUUUUACUUGCGUCUACUUAACAUUUACCCAACUACUUUAAAAAGAAAACUCAAACGCAAGAAAAAUUAUGCAUUAAGUAAUGUAUAAUGACAACAUGAUUAAUUAGUUGAACUAAUUGAAUAGAACAAUACUACUAAUUAUGUAGUGUUUUCUACUCCAUGUAGUAAUGUUUUCUACCAAACAAUUUUGUUGCUAUUUUGUUUUUUUUGUCAUAAUAAUGAUGCUACUUUUUGUGUGGUUAUCUUAGAAUUCAAUCAAGUUUGUGAAGCAAGUAGUUCUAGAAGAUGAAACAAAGUUGAAGGGAAUUCCACCAUAUUGCUCCAAAAUAUUGUUAUGGCGUUUCAACUUCUAUGCUCGUGCCAUGUCCAAGCAUUAAUUUGUAGGAUAUUAGAGAGAAUAAGGAAUUUGAAGCAAUUCACAAAUUGCUUUUCUACUACAAAAUAUAUGAAAUUUAUUCAUUUUUUUUACCUUUUGUAAUUGUAUUUCGUAUAUAGUUUUUUUCUUCGUUCAUAAUUUUUGUUAGUUUAUGUAAGAGAGGCAAAACAUUUAAAGCAUAUUUUAUAUUUUUAUUUUUUUGAUAUAAAGGCACUAGAGUUUCUAGCAUAUUACUUAAUGCACCAUAAACAUUAUUUACUCUUGUAAAAAAUUAAAAUUAUCCUUAGAAUUUAGAGGUGCAUCCCGGAUGCAUACUAUUUACAUAAAUUAUUUUGUUUUUGAGUCACACAUUAAUUAUAAUUAAAUUUUAUCUAGAAAUGCAUAUAUGUAUUUUAUAUAGAUGUAUUUCUGAAUCCUAAUGAAUCAAGAACAAUUGCAUAAAUGAAACAGAUACACAGUCAGAGAUAAAUUAACAUCAAUAAUUGUUAUGACAUACAUAAAAAUCGAAACAUUAUAUUGAUAAUUGUUAUGACAUGCAUAAAAAAAUGAACUAUACAUUUCAUCAUCAAGUAUGACGUUGCAAUAUCUUCAAAAUAUCUUCGGUGGAUCUCGUAAUUUUCACAUCCAACUCGAUUGAACCUUUCGUUUUGUAAGGGUGAAAUGUACUCCACAUAACCCUUAAAUCAUCAUCUGUCUUCAGCUCAAACUUACUGAACUGAAUGUUUCCUUCGUUAUCAAUCGAGGGUGAACGACACUUGAGUUUGAUAACUUUUUGAUUGUCUAAGUAUUCUAGAAGAUUCUCAAAAUAUGCAUUUCAGAUCUGCAAGAGAGGUGUACUCAGUGACCUUAAAUUCAAGUGAGACAUUCACGACGUUGAAGUAGACAAAUGCGACAUGCCAAUAUAUGUUAAUUCUGGUGUAAUGUGACUUUGUUAAAAAUUUGAGAUGAGAGAUCCAUUUUAUACAAGUUUUAGGUCAAUAUGGAACUUAGAAAUUCAAUCAUGUCCCAAGGGAAAUUCCGUAGAUGUACUUCUUAAAACACCCUACUUUGUUGUGUGAAAUUUAUGAAAAUAUGGUGCAUCAGAAAAUACAUUUUUGAAUAAAUUCAUGUUCGUAUUUUUUUAAAAUAUUUGGGAUGAAUCCAGAAAUGCAUUUUCGGAUGCACCAGAGACUGUUUGCUUAACCAAUUUCAGAAACAGAACCUGUUUUCCAAUAGAAAAUGGAGAAAUAUUUUGAAAAUUGAAACAAAUAUUAAAAUCUAUGAAAACAUAUAUAUUUAACAUCAUUAAUAUUAAUAUAAAAUUACAUACAAUACAUGUCUAACCAAAUAAACACACUGUUGAAUAAAAACUAAAAUGAAUCAAAACAUGUGUCACCGUCUAAAUCUAUAUGUAUGAGAAUUACACAUUUGACUUUUGUUUAUUUGUUUCUAUUUCAAUCUCGCUCAACUUGGUGAAUUCUUGCAUCCUAUCCAUAAAAGGAUUCAACAAAGUCUCAGUUUUCCAUGUUGAAUGAGUUGUCCACUCCAGGGUGUUAGGGGUACAGGGCAUCCUGAUUUCAAAACUAAAACAAAGUGUCACGUUUUUGAAAGUCAUUCAAUACACAUAAUACGAUCAAUUGGAUUUUGAGGUGGGACAAUGUAUAGUGGAUUUUUUUUUCGAAAACUAUAUCUUGUCAGAUCAAUACACACCUUAUUAUAUGCAUUUGUUAUAAGAUGACUCAUUUUAGUGAAGUACAUCCAUUUUUCUUCUGGCGUAGCUCCCCUAAUGCAAGGAAUAAGAGAUUCAUGAUAUGCACCAAAAUUUUCUUUUUUUCCGUAUAACACGUGUGUGAUUCUUUAUAGUCGUGUGUAUGAUUCUUUAUGCACCAAAAUGUAUGAUCAUCAUCUCCUUUACCGAGCAAAGCAGAAAUAUAUCGAAAACCGCCAUUAUCGUUGCCCUCAAUAUUCAUGAUCCGUUCUGAAGGGAUUUAAAGGAGAUUUUUCAAAAAUUUUGAUCCCCUUAGUGGAACAAUCCCGAUGAAUGGAUCUUAAUUAAAUCACUAAUCACGAAUCAAACACAAAUAAAGGUUUUGAAUUCUCUCUUGAAAUGUGCUUUAACUUUGAUCAUGAACGUGAAAAAUAACACCGUCUCUAUGAAGUCUACGCGAGUACAAAGUCGAACGUGAUGCUAGCAUUUUCUUUUUCUGAGAAUGACUUUGCAAAGGAAAUAAUUUUUCUAUUUAUAGAGAGCUACUAAAACCCUAAUAUGUUCUUAUUUUGGUCUUUGUAAAAAUAAGCUCAAUCUUAUUUAAUUAAAUAAUUUUAAUUAAAUAAAAUAUAUUUUAUAUUUAAUUAAAUUUUUUAAUUAUAUAAAAUAAAAUAUUAAUUAAAUUAAUCAUAUUUAAUUCAAUUAAUUAUCAAUUCUCAUUUAUUUAAUUAAAUUAUAUUUAAUCAAAUAAAUUAUAUAUGUAUUAAUAUAUUAAAUAAUCUAAAUACUCUUAACACAUGAUUAAAUUAAAUUAAAUCUUAUUUAAUUUAAUCAUUCAUUCAAUUAUCAGUACUCUAUGGGUGAUACUUAUUUGAGGACGAACAUGCAUUUUACAGUCAUACUCGUUCAAGGGUCCAUAAAUAUUAUUCCAGUAUAUAUAGGAGAUACAAAUCUCAUAUAAGUCAUCCAUGUCUCUUAACAUGAUUUAUAAAAUAUUCAUCCAUCAUCUUUAUAUCUUUAUAGGAAUUCUUUUAUGGAUAACUUUUGAAUGUAGUGUGUACUCAUUUAUGUAAUACCUAUAGCACUCGGUUGUUUUUCUUUGGUUUAUCAAAACAACCGAUGCUUGUUUUAGUGUUUUGACCAAUAUUUGAGAAUUGAAAUAAGUUCUUUUAAGUAGUCAUAAUUGCUCUCCAAACCAACGCCAGCUAGAGUUUAGUAACAGUUUAACUUGUAUAAACUUGCAUAUUAAACAAUUUAAAUUGAAUCGUUCACAAUUAUUAACCAAUGUCAUAAAGUGGUAUAAGUCCGACCCCUGUUAAUUCAUGGAUAAUCUGCAAACUUUAACAAAACAAAUAAUUUUAAUAUUUACUUAAAACUACCUUAAAGUAUAUUUGGAAAAUAUCUUUUAUCAUAGACCAAAUUAUAAGAGAUAAAUGUAUAUUUACUUUUAAAAUAAUUAUUAUAGGAGUCACUUAUAACUUAGGGUCUAAAUGAUUUAACUCACACAAGCUACAAUUUUAACGGAUUCAAAAGUUGGUCCAAUUGCUUAGUUUAGAAUUCUUUAAAAAAUCUAUAAAACUGAACUAUAAAUUUGAACCAUAUUGUUGUUAAAUAAAUUAAUCAUUCAUUUUUAAAUAACAAAAUUAAAAGAACAACACUGCAAAUAUAUAAAAGGUGAGAUACUAGGUUCGGGAGUCAUUUAAGUGAGAGAAAAAUAUUAGACAUCUCUCACCUCCAUUGUAUUCAAUGAAAUCCUCCUCUAAAUCUAGGGUUAGUGUGUUUUUAAGAGAAUUUUGCUUUAAUAUUUAUUAAUUAUUUAAUUAUUUAUUUAUUUAACAAAAAGAUAUUUGAUUAGAGAAAAGAAAAAUCAAUUACAAAAGAAGACUAAAAAAUGUUUUUGAUUAUUAUACUUGCUAGAAUCUUACAACUCUAACUCUAUGCCUACGUACCAUUACUUUUAAUGAAAGAUCAGAGUCUCGUAGUUCUGGUAGAAAAAUGUUUGUAGUUUUUAUCCCUUAAAAAUUCUUAAGCAUCGGGGACGAAAAAGUAAUUGAUUUUGAAAAAUGCAUCAAUGCACUAUGGCAGAUGACUUAUAGUUUGAGGUGAGUUUAAAUUAAUUUUAUUCCAAUUAUUGAUUAAAAAAAUAUAGUACUUAAUUUAUUUAUGAAAAUAAAUAUUAUAUAUUUAUAAGACAUAUCUCUUAUCCCGAUUGUAUCCCCGAUUUAUCCCUUAUUUUUAUCUCUUUGAAAUCCUAAAAAUCUAUCCCUUAUUUUAUCCCAUGUUCUUAUCCCCUUUGAUUGCAAAAAUAUAAUAUAUUAAAUAACUUAAAUAAGAUGUAAUAUGAUGUAUCCCUUAUUUUUAUCUCUUUGAAAUCCUAAAAGUCUAUCCCUUAUUUUAUCCCAUGUUCUUAUCCCCUUUGAUUGCAAAAAUAUAAUAUAAUUAAAUAACUUAAAUAAGAUGUAUCCCUCAUCCCGAUUUUAUCCCUUAAAACCCUAUAAAUUAUCCCUAAAAUUUCUUGAUUUAAUUAUCCCUAGUUUCUAUAAAUCCCUAAUUAAUAUGACUAUUCUAAAUAAUUGAUGAAGAAUCCAACUUAAAAAUAAAUAUUAAAUUAAUGAAAUCCCCGAUUAUUAGUUUAAUUAAAUCCAAUUAAUUUUAAUAAACCAACCUUAAUAAUUAAAUUCCUAAAACUAUAUAUUCAUUAAAAUAAAUAUAUUUUAAAAAACAGGGGGGGUGUAUUAUGGUACUAAAUAAACAAUUGGGCUUGAAGCUGGGGUGUGGGAAGCAAUGGAAAGAAAGGCCCAAUACUCUCUGAAGUCUAACGCAUGGGGGUCUAUAGAAGGAGAGAGUCAAUCGUUGACUCUCUUUGGUUCCUUUGAUCAAGAUCAUGGGGAUGUUAUUACACUUAAUCAUAGCCUUUGGUUUGAUUGACUGGUCAAAGUAUAUAGAGUGUAUGAUUGAAAUGCAGAGUCAAAAGGGGACUCGGGGUAUACACGCAUACACAACGGGUGAGUUUUUUCCUGCAUUGCCCUCCUAUUGAAUUUUUUUAUCCAAUAUGCCCCAGUCUGAAAAUAAUUUCCCAAUCUACCCCCUUUUUCAAUUAGGGCUCGCCACUUCAAACGACGAGGGGAUGAAGGCCUAAUUUACGCAGUUAGGGCUCGUCACUUCAAGUGACGAGGACAUGAAGAAGGAUUUUUUUUUAAUAUUUUAAAUAUUGUAUUAAAUAAUAAUAAUAAUUAAUAUAAUUAAUUUUUAAUUAUUAAUUCUAUAUUUAAUUAAUAUAAUUGAUUUAAUUAAAAAUAAUAAUAAUUUUUUUAUAAAAAAAUAUUUAAAAUAAAUUGUAAAUAAUUAUAGUUUUUCAUGAUAAUAAAAAAAUUGUGAUANUGUAGAAAUUGAAGAGAGUAAAUAUUUGAAGAGGGUAAGAAUGUGUGAAAUAGAAAUUGUAGGUAGAUGAUGAGUAAGAAGUGUAGAAGUAUUGAUUAUUUAUAGUGGUAAAAUUAUAAUAAAAAAAAUUGGUAAAAGUUUGAAUAGUAGAGGAUUAGACAUUGCAUUGCAUGUCAUGCAUGCAAAAAAAAUUGUAAGGAUUCCCUGUAACAUGAGAUUCCCACGCUGAAGGGAAAACACAAUGCCAAUAGCCUGCACUAUGGCUCGUCACUUUGAUGGACGAGCUGUACCUACUUCUUUGAGGCCUCGUCAAAUGGAAUGGCGAGGUGAUUCAUCCUCUUUGUUGCCUCGUCAAAUGAAGUGACAAGUUCUGUAUGUCUAGGGUUUUGUCUCGUCAAUCCAAGUGAUGAGCUAUCACAUGCCAAUUUCCUCACGCGUUUCCCUACUUCUCCCUCCUCUAUUUAACUUAAAAUCAGCAUGUGAUUUGGAUAUUGUAUUAUAUUCACACCAAAUCAAACUCAUAUUUCCUAUAAAUACUACUAACUUCCUCAUUUACAUUCACCAAAUCAAAUCCUCAUUUAUAUUCACACCAAAUCAAAUCCUCAUUUAUAUUCACACUAAAUCAAAUAUUACACAUCCAUGGCUCAAAGAAAUUUAGUUGUUUCUAUCCAUUCCGAAGGGUCACUUUUCACAUAUUCAAGUGAGGGAUUCUCAUUUUGCAAUACGAAUUUAACUAUGUUCAAAAUCCACAUCAACUCCGACUUUCAUAAUUUAAAAGACCGUAUUGAAAAGAAGUUGCAACGUUAUGUUGAAGACAUCAUUUAUCGUCAACCAUUAUUUAAUGGAGAUGAUAAUACCGUCUUUCACAUAAUGACACCGAUUAAGACCGACGAAGAAAUUUGUUGUUCAAAUCCAAAUUGGAGUUUGACUCGAUCCGUCUGAUGCAUCUCAACGGUAUAGAAACAUAUGAUAUAUGUUGUUGCACUCCAGACUCGGCUGUCAUUAUAAUCAGGCACUGGAUAUUAUAUGUACGGCCUCCAAAUAAACUGUUAAAAGAAAUAUAACUAUUAGAAUGUAUAUUAAAUUUAAAUAAGUUAAAUAUUUUAAUUAAUCAUUCUUACAUCUUUUUCUUCCAUGUGUUCUAUUGCAACACGGUACCCUUGUACAUGAUGUCGAGGAUUAUUUCGAUAAUUCAUACCUCGUUUGCACCAUCUUGCAUAUUAAAAAAAAUAUGUUAAAUUGACGUAUAAUUUUUUUUUGAUAAAUAUAAAUUGCAUUUAAAUGAAAAUCGUUACCUUAAACCUCGUUACUAACCGGGGCUAUCAAGGGUAUGCGUGUGAAUGCCCAUACAGUUAGUAAUACCACACAUCCUCCUAUGCUCUUUACUCCUCUAUGGGCCGCCUUGCACAUAUGUCUAUAUAGUGUAGCCAAACAAGCAGAACCCCAACUGUAUGAAUUACAUUUUUCAAGGUCUCCUACUAAAGGUAACCAAGAAGAAUGCAACAAAUUGUGACUUUUAUCUGGCAUUAAAAAAGUAGCAAUUAAAAGUAAAAUAUAAAUUUUUGCAUGUAAAAUAUUUUCUGCCUCGGACGGGUUAGGGUUAUUUUUUAGUUGCGUUAAUACUGCGUCUAGCCAAACAAUUUUGACAGAAGCCCCAUUUUUAUCCGAGGGCGGUUGGUUCGAUGCCCAAAUUUUCCAUGUAAACGGCACUGGUUACGUUUGUUGGGCCAUUGACAGCUUUUCCAUGGAUUCGGAGACCGAAUAACAUACUCACAUCCUCUAAUGUGAUGGUACAUUCACCUGUUGGUAAAUGAAAUGUAUGUGUCUCCGGUCUCCAUCUCUCUAACAAUGCCACAAUGAGUUUAGAGUCUACUUUUAGACUUGCAAUUUUUGCCACAUUCGCAAAACCUGCUAGCUCCAAGUACGGUAUUAUAACCGCACUUGGUUGAAUAUAUGAAUGCAAAUGAACCCGAAAUUUUCCAUCUUGCUGAAAUUAAAAUAAAUAACAGUAAUGAAUAUUUGGUCUAAUAAAGAACGGAAGUAAAAAACGAUAAUAAAAAACGAUAAUAAAAAACGGUAAAUUUGAAUGAGACUUACGUAUUCGACAAUGUUUGCCGCCGUCCCACGGUGUGAUUCACCCAUCCAUAAGAAAGACAUCUUGAAAGGAAGUGUAGAAAUUGAAGAGAGUAAAUAUUUGAAGAGGGUAAGAAUGUGUGAAAUAGAAAUUGUAGGUAGAUGAUGAGUAAGAAGUGUAGAAGUAUUGAUUAUUUAUAGUGGUAAAAUUAUAAUAAAAAAAAUUGGUAAAAGUUUGAAUAGUAGAGGAUUAGACAUUGCAUUGCAUGUCAUGCAUGCAAAAAAAAUUGUUAAGGAUUCCCUGUAACAUGAGAUUCCCACGCUGAAGGGAAAACACAAUGCCAAUAGCCUGCACCUAUGGCUCGUCACUUUGAUUGACGAGCUGUACCUACUUCUUUGAGGCCUCGUCAAAUGGAAUGGAGAGGUGAUUCGUCCUCUUUGUUGCCUCGUCAAAUGAAGUGACGAGUGCUUUAUGUCUAGGGUUUUGUCUCGUCAAUCCAAGUGACGAGCUAUCACAUGCCAAUUUCCUCACGCGUUUCCCUCUGUCUCUCUCCUCUAUUUAACUUAAAAUUAGCAUGUGAUUUGGAUAUUGUAUUAUAUUCACACCAAAUCAAAUUCAUAUUUCCUAUAAAUACUACUACUUCCUCAUUUACAUUCACCAAAUCAAAUCCUCAUUUAUAUUCACACCAAACCAAAUCCUCAUUUAUAUUCACACCAAAUCAAAUCCUCAUUUAUAUUCAUACUAAAUCAAAUAUUACACAUCCAUAUGGAAUGAGUCAUUUAUCGUCAACCAUUAUUUAAUGGAGAUGAUAAUACCGUCUUUCACAUAAUGACACUGAUUAAGACCGACGAAGAUGUCAGGUCGAUGUUUCAAUGUCAUGUAACAUUAUCUCAAUUACCCAGCAUUGAGAUAUAUGUUCGUCUAGUCGAUAAUCUUGAAGAACAACCGAGUGACAAUGUUGAGGAACAACCGUCUCACAACGAAAAUCACUGUUAUCCAACGCAAUCUGUACAGUCACACGACUAUGGAAUGAGUCAAGCCAUUGACGAAGAGCCGACUCAAAAUAAUGAACCUUUCAUACCAAAUGAAGAGGUGGGCGAGAAUAGUGAGGAUGAUCUUGAGGAGGUUCGAUUUGAAGAUCUAUUCGGUGUUAGCGAUGACGAUGGCAAUGAGGAAAUAUUCGACACACCGGCCGUUGCACUAAGAGCGCAACCAAUUAGUUUGUACAACCCACCUGCGCACAUGCAAAACAUAAGUUUGGAUGAUGCCGAACCAAUCUCCGUUUUCGGCAGUUUCAUACCAACUCACAACUUUGACGAAAUAGAGGAGGGCAUAGAGUAUGAAGAUAAGGAAGAGUGUCUUCUGGCGUUGCAACAAUGGCAUAUAAAACGUAGUCUAGAUUUUUCUGUGGUUAAAUCUGACAGUGUAUGUUUUGUCAUCAAAUGUAGAAAUUCAACAUGCAAUUUCAAAUGCAGGGUCUCUUUGCGCAAGGGCAACUCAAGGUGGAGAGUUGGUAAGUCUAGUGGGCCUCAUACGUGCACAACCACUUCCAUGUCACAAGACCAUACAAAACUCAGUUCAGAAAUGAUUAGCAAGAGCAUAAUGGAGCUUGUAAAUCGGGACGCUUCUCUUAAGGUGAAGGUUAUCAUUGCUCAUGUUGUUGAGAAAUACCGGUAUAUCAUAUCAUACAAAAAGGCAUGGAUUGCAAAGUGUAAGGCGGUUGAGUCGCUCUAUAGAAAUUGGGAGACAUCUUACAACGAUCUUCUACAGUGGAUACUGGUAAUGAAAACAUAUCUACCAGGUACCAUUAUAGAAUUACAAACCCUACCUGUGAUUUCAAAUGAUGGUUCAUACUUGGGUGACCAAAGGAUAUUUCAUCGUCUGUUUUGGGCGUUUAGACCAUGUAUACGUGGCUUCGCGUAUUGUAAACCAAUUGUGCAGGUUGAUGGAACUUGGUUGUAUGGCAAGUACAGAGGGGCUCUGCUGAUGGAUGUGGCACAGGAUGGGAAGGGGAACAUAUUUCCGAUAGCGUUCGCAUUGGUUGAAAGUGAGACAAAGGAAGCCUGGAGUUUCUUUCUUAAGAAUUUGAGAAUGCAUGUUACCCCCCAAGCAAAUCUAUGCCUAAUAUCAAACAGGCAUGAAUCAAUAAAGAAUGCAUACAACAACCCGGAAAAUGGAUGGCAGUUUCCUCCUUCAUCACACGUCUAUUGCAUUAGACAUAUCGCGCAAAACUUCAUGCGGGAGAUUAAAGAUAAGGAUCUGCGGAAAAUAGUUGUUAACAUGGGUUAUGCGUUAACAGAGGCAACGUUUAACUACUAUCGGGGGGAAAUCCGAAGAACAAACAACGACGCUUUAUCAUAGAUAGACAACAUCCCUCGCGAGAAGUGGGCAAGGGCAUUUGACGGAGGGCAACGCUGGGGUCACAUGACAACUAACCUAGCAGAAGCAACGAACGCGGUGUUGAAAGAAACCCGGAACCUUUCAAUCACUGCAUUGGUCAAAUCUACGUACUAUCGUUUAGGAUCACUAUUUGGUAGAAGAGGCCAUCAGUGGACAAAAAUGUUAGCCUCUGGGCAGGUUUUCACUGAUAACUGCAACAAGGGGAUGGCUGAGGAAGUCAUCAAAGCUAACACGCAUAACGUCAUGCAGUUCGACCGAGAGAGAUUUUAUUUCAUGGUCCAAGAGAAGAUUAAUCAUAACGACGGUCGACCAACCGGAACGUUCAGCGUUGAUCUGAGGAAACAACACUGUGACUGUGGGAAAUUUCAGGCAUUUCACUUACCUUGCUCCCAUGUAAUCGCAGCAUGUUCGAGCAUACGCCAGGACUAUUCCAUUCACAUUCCAGACGUCUUCAAAAUUCGUAACGUCUUCAAGGUCUAUCAGGAGAGUUUCCUAGGACUUCCCCAUGAGGAGAAUUGGCCACAAUAUGAAGGAUAUACUCUUUGCCACGACGACUCUAUGAGAAGGAGGAAGAAAGGGCGCCCAAACAGCACCAGGAUUAGAACCGAGAUGGACGACGUUGAGAAGGAGAAGAGAAGGUGUGGAAUUUGUCGCGAAAUAGGACACAUGCGUAGGAAAUGUCCUAAUGUUGCAGGAUCAUCCCAACGACCUUCCAGAUGAUUAUCUUGUUGUUUUAAAUAUUCGUUCAGAUGACUAUGUUUAUUUAUUUAUUUAUUAACUACUAUGCACAUAAUAUAUAUAAACCAUUUUGUAUUUCUAAUGUCUUUUGGGAACAAACAUUUAUGAAAUACAUUUGAUAAUCAAAGGCUUCUGGUUACAAAGUACGACCACAUCAACUAAACAACAACAACAACCAACACAAGUGGUAAUUAAAAAACUAAUCAACAACAACAACCAACACAAGUGGACCUUCAACUCCUCUAUUAACUUCACCACUAUGUGCCGAAAACAUACAUUGGACAUCUUCAUCAUUUUCUAUACGAUCCAGGUAAUACAUGUACGUACCAUCGGGGCUUGCAUCAGUCAACGUUAUGUAUGGACAACGAUACUCUACUUUCCUCACCUUCAUACGACGCCCGCCCAACUGUCGGAAGCCAGUGUGGAUGGCAGAAAUCAGUGUUCUGAAAUUCCAUUGCGGAUCAAGGCAAACACUCAUUUUUUCACCGUGUCCAUAAAAUACAAGACCACAAACAGACAUUAUGAACUAAAGAAAGGAUUUGGUGGUGUGAGUUUCAUUUCUACCAGUUNNNNNNNNNNNNNNNNNNNNNNNNNNNNNNNNNNNNNNNNNNNNNNNNNNNNNNNNNNNNNNNNNNNNNNNNNNNNNNNNNNNNNNNNNNNNNNNNNNNNNNNNNNNNNNNNNNNNNNNNNNNNNNNNNNNNNNNNNNNNNNNNNNNNNNNNNNNNNNNNNNNNNNNNNNNNNNNNNNNNNNNNNNNNNNNNNNNNNNNNNNNNNNNNNNNNNNNNNNNNNCAACAACAACCAACACAAGUGGACCUUCAACUCCUCUAUUAACUUCACCACUAUGUGCCGAAAACAUACACUGGACAUCUUCAUCAUUUUCUAUACGAUCCAGGUAAUACAUGUACAUACCAUCGGGGCUUGCAUCAGUCAACGUUAUGUAUGGACAACGAUACUCUACUUUCCUCACCUUCAUACGACGCUCGCCCAACUGUCGGAAGCCAGUGUGGAUGGCAGAAAUCAGUGUUCGGAAAUUCCAUUGCGGAUCAAGGCAAACACUCAUUUUCUCACCGUGUCCAUAAAAUACAAGACCACAAACAGACAUUCUGAACUAAAGAAAGGAUUUGGUGGUCUGAGUUACAUUUCUACAAGUUCUGCUAUUUAUACAAAAAUUAAUAGUUGAAUACUCAGCCAAUCAUUGGCCGAGACAGUACAAACACAAAAACUUUUUGGCGGGAAAGAUAUCAUUCCCAAAAAAUGAUUGACAUUUUGGAGGGAAACAUAACAAUUUUAUUAUUAAUAUAUAAGACAUAAAUUAUUUCUAUUAUUAAUAUUCUAAAAAUUAAUCAUUUUUAUUAUUAGUAUUUCAAAAAUAAUAAUAUCACAAUUUUUUUAUUAUCAUGAAAAACUAUAAUUAUUUACAAUUUAUUUUAAAUAUUUUUUUAUAAAAAAAUUAUUAUUAUUUUUAAUUAAAUCAAUUAUAUUAAUUAUUUUUUUAUUAUCAUGAAAAACUAUAAUUAUUUACAAUUUAUUUUAAAUAUUUUUUUAUAAAAAAAUUAUUAUUAUUUUUAAUUAAAUCAAUUAUAUUAAUUAAAUAUAAAAUUAAUAAUUAAAAAUUAAUUAUAUUAAUUAUUAUUAUUAUUUAAUACAGUAUUUAAAAUAUUAAAAAAUAAAAAAAUCCUUCUUCAUGUCCUCGUCACUUGAAGUGACGAGCCCUAACUGCGUAAAUUGGGCCUUCAUCCCCUCGUCAUUUGAAGUGGCGAGCCCUAACUGAAAAAGGGAUAGAUUGAGAAAUUAUUUUCAGACUGGGGCAUAUUGGGUAAAAAAUUUCAAAUAGAGGGCAUAUGCAGCAAAAACUCACAACGGGUAUGUUGAGUCAACUGGUUGAUUGGUUGAGAGAGGUCACGCAAGCAUGAUGUGGCACUUGGCUGGAUGAGGGUAUAAAAGUUAUCUCCCUUUAGAAAUCUUCAUUUCCACUUCUCUCAUUCUCCCUCUCUUCAUUGCUCUCCCUCUCUCUUCUCUCCCCUCUUUCUACUUCGGCAACCCUCUUCCCCACCGUAUAUCCCCAGAAACCACCCACAAACCACCACAUUCAACUGAGAUCUUUAUGUUCAUCAUGAACAUGAAAAACACCCAACUCAGAAACCGACCCCUCACCAUCCUUUCCCCCAGAACCACCGAAUCUCCGGAUCUCGGGUUGAAGCUCAACCAGGAUCUUCAAUCAAUGUUCAUCUGGGUGAUGAACAUCAACCCAGAACCAAGAACCCUAACCCUAACAUUCAACCAAAACCCAGAAUCACAAGAACCAUAACCCUAACUGAAGAACCCUAACCUUCAAAAUCAAAACCCAAAUUCUCCUAACCUUUAUCAUGUUCAUCAUGAACAUGAUGAAUCUUCAUCCCUGAUCUCUGAACCAUAACCCAAAUUUCCAGAAAUCCCCACAAUUCACCCAAUCAUAACAAAAACAACCUUAAAUCAAAGGUCGUAACCUCUUUAUCAAUAAUUAACCGCCAAAAUAAAUAACAAAACAUCCUAAAACCAUGAAUCAAUCCAUCUGAACCCUAAUCCCCAAAUCAACCCCAAUCAUCAUACAUCAACAACAACAUCAAAGAGUCAACAAAAGUAAGCAAAUAAGUGAAGUUCUACCAACCUACAGAAUCGAGGAAUAUUCCAGUUCGAAAGGUAAUUACCUAGAGUCCUUUCUUAAUUACUUCUUUUAUUAUGCUCCUCUUCUAAUCCCUUUCUUAUUGUUAUGCGAGGUUUGAUGGUUGGCUAAGCUCAAAUAACUUAGGGUUUCAGUGUGAAGCCCUAAACAUCAAAUUUUGUUGAGCAUAUGGUGAGACUUUUAGGAUCAAUGUUGCGACUGCAAGUUCCAAGUCCUUAGGGUUUUCUUCGUCCCUGAUUGAAUUUUAGGUUUAUGUUUAUAUAAAUUAUUUUUUAGGGUUUUAGAUUUCAAUUCUGAUUGUAUGGUUUUAUAAGAUUAGGACCUGAUUGAUUAUGUAUUUGAUUUAGAUUGAUUUUGUGUUAUAAAUAGAAAUUAGGUUUGAAUUGUAACAGACAUUGACAAUUUAUGUAGUCCAAUUUUGAUUGAUAUUCACGAUUUGAAUGUAUAUGAAAUAAAAACAGAAAUUUUGGAUUGGUUUUAAAAUUGCAGUUUUCGAUUUGUUCUGAAAAUGGUUUUGCGCAAGUCAGGGUUUAGAUUAGGGAAGAAGCUGAACCUGAGUCAUGAGCUUGCCCCGGUUCAGUGAUGGAUCUUUGGUCUAGCCUGACCCAGUUCGAUUGUGGUUUUGAAUCCUCUUGGUCUGACCAUCACUUGGGCCAAAUAACGAUAAUCAAGAUAUAACAAAAAAAUAAUUGGCACGUCCAUAAUAAUAAUAUAACAAA